rnacentral:rRNA from 1 species
UACGUAGGGUGCAAGCGUUAAUCGGAAUUACUGGGCGUAAAGCGUGCGCAGGCGGUUGUGCAAGACAGAGGUGAAAUCCCCGAGCUUAACUUGGGAACUGCCUUUGUGACUGCACGGCUAGAGUGUGUCAGAGGGGGGUAGAAUUCCACGUGUAGCAGUGAAAUGCGUAGAGAUGUGGAGGAAUACCGAUGGCGAAGGCAGCCCCCCUGGGAUAACACUGACGCUCA